rnacentral:rRNA from 1 species
AACGAACGCUGGCGGCGUGGAUAAGACAUGCAAGUCGGACGGGAUUUUCCGUUGUAGCAAUACGAUGGAAAGUCUAGUGGCGAACGGGUGCUUAACACGUGGGCAACCUGCCAGGAAGUGGGGGAUAGCUCGCCGAAAGGCGAAUUAAUACCGCAUGUGAUUAGAGAGGACAUCCUUUCGAAAUUAAAGUCGGGGCAACCUGACGCUUCUUGUGGGGCCCGCGGCCUAUCAGCUAGUUGGUGAGGUAAUGGCUCACCAAGGCUUUGACGGGUAGCUGGUCUGAGAGGACGACCAGCCACACUGGGACUGAGACACGGCCCAGACACCUACGGGUGGCAGCAGUCGAGAAUUUUUGACAAUGGGGGAAACCCUGAUCGAGCGACGCCGCGUGGAGGAUGAAGGUCUUCGGAUUGUAAACUCCUGUCAUUGGGGAACAAGGUGCAUACGUUAACUGCGUGUGUAUUGAUAGUACCCGAAGAGGAAGAGACGGCUAACUCUGUGCCAGCAGCCGCCGUAAAAC